AACGAACGCUGGCGGCGCGUUUUAAGCAUGCAAGUCGAACGGCAGCCAUGGGGCAACCUGUGGCGAGAGUGGCGAACGGGUGAGUAACACGUAGGUAAUCUACCUUCGGGAGUGGGAUAGUCCGUGGAAACACGGGGUAAUACCGCAUGAGGCCCUAGGAGUAAAGUUCUGGGGUGAAAGCUUCAAUUGGAGCGCCUGGGGAUGAGCCUGCGGCCCAUUAGGUAGUUGGCGGGGUAAAGGCCCACCAAGCCGACGAUGGGUAGCCGGCCUGAGAGGGUGUACGGACACACUGGAACUGGGACACGGUCCAGACUCCUACGGGAGGCAG
rnacentral:rRNA from 1 species